GGCCUGCUGGCCCAAUGGCAAGGCGCUUGACUACGAAUCAGCUGAGGCAGCUCAUUUCAAUCAAGAGAUUGCAGGUUCGAUCCCUGCGUAGGUCA
rnacentral:tRNA from 1 species